UCUGCUUCCUGACUGCGGGGCUGCUGCUGCAAAUGACCGGAGCUGGCAGCCAUGAAACUAAGCUUAGUGAACCCUUUGCUUUCCAGGCAAUGGGCAUUUUGAAGACUGCCUUGGGAGGAGUGGCCAGUGUGGCAUCUUUCUUUACCACAUUCAUUUUGUUGUGCUUGGUGACUUUCAACUAAGAGGGAGAGAAUCUGAAGCUGAACCAGGAGCCGGAUGCAGACCUCAAUCCCAUGACCCAUGAGAUCAUGACCUGAGCCAGAGGCUUAACUGACUGAGCCACCUAGGCUCCCCUGCUUUUAAGUAGUGUAUUUCUUGAGGGACUGAAUGGAUGAGUAGGGGAGGCAGUUAGACAAUAAAUGAAAAUUGGAG